rnacentral:lncRNA from 1 species
UCGGCUCACUGCAAGCUCCGCCUCCCGGGUUCUCGCCAUUCUCCUGCCUCAGCCUUCCGAGUAGCUGGGACUAUAGGUGCCCGCCACCACGCCAGGCUAAUUUUUUGUAUUUUUAGUAGAGAUGGGGUUUCACCGUGUUAGCCAGGAUGGUCUCGAUCUUCUGACCUCGUGAUCCGCCCGCCUCGGCCUCCCAAAGUGCUAGGAUUACAGGCGUGAGCCACCGCGCCCGGCAGCAAAUUUUAAGCCAAGAAAUUGAAUGUUGCCAGAACCCCAGGAACCACCCAGCCUCUUCCCAUAUGACCACUUCCCCACACUCUCCACCUUCCUUACUUCUAUGGUAUUGAUGGAUGGUUGGGUGACAUGGACUCCAGUAUGUGCCAUGAAGGAUACGAAGAUGAAGCUGUCAUGAACUCUGCUCUCGAGAAGCUACUGUCAAACCUUCUCAAUGUGAACACCACAAGGAUGAAGACCUUUAUAAUGAUCCAUCUCCACUUAAUUAAGAAUAAAUAUUUUUUCUCUUACUCAUGAUUUUAUUAAUGGUAUUUUCUUUUCUCUAGCUUACUUUAUUAUAAAAAUACAGUAUAUAAUACAUAUAGCACACAAAAUAUGUGUUGAUCGACUAUUUAUGUUAUUGAUAAGGCUUCCGGUCAAAAGUAGGCUAAUAGUAGCUACAUUUUUUGGCAAAUCAAAGGCUAAUUACUUGGAUCUGAUCACUAUACAUUAUGUAUAUCACAACAUCACUAUGUGCCCCAUAAAUAUGUACAAUUAUUGUGUUUAUUUAAAAUUUGGAAAAUAAAAAGUUACAAAACAUUUUUUUAAAAUUUAAAAUUUAAAAGUUCUAUGUGGAUUUUUGAGUGCAUGGGUAAGUUGUCACCCCUAACCCCCGUGGUUCCAGGAUCAACUGUAGUGUGUAUUCUUACUGACUCAAAAUUCUUUAUAUUUAUCUGCUUCUCCACCACUCGCCACUUCAAAUGAACAAUUAACUUGUCAAAGAUUAUUUUCCUCAAUACACAACUUCCUAUUUCUCACUCUCCCUCAUCUCCUCUUUCUUUCUUCUUGCCUCUUAUUAAAACCCAAAAGUUGAUAAGAAAGUGGAAUUAAAGAUAGAAUUUGUGUAUAAACAGACUUAACUGUAGUGUUCAUUCUUUUCCAUUUCCUAAAUUGUCCAAUUUCACCAGACAAUGACCUCAAUCUAGCCUAGAAUAAUAAAAACAAUUACCAGCUACUCUAUUGCAUGAAUAAGCCCUAGUUUUACUUUGCAAGCAUCCCAUUAAGUGUUUGCUGGAUUUUUCUAUUUUCCUUCUCUAUGUCAGAGUCAAGGCAAGCAUCACAAGCCAAGUAGCCACCCUGCUAACUGGAAGGUAAAAGAAGAGCCAGGGGAGGGAAACAGACUCAGAGACUAUCAAUUUUCCCUGAACUAGAACAACCUAUUCUUAUCAGAGAAGAUGAGCAUCACUUAACAUUUGACAAACCACUGUCCCCAGAGUGCAUUACCAUGGUAAUCCA